GCACUGCUGAGGAGUCCAACAAUAUGACGAAAUGGCCGUCCAGUGC
rnacentral:hammerhead_ribozyme from 1 species